rnacentral:rRNA from 1 species
CAGUCGCCGCGGGAAAACGGAGGGAGCCAGCGUUGUUCGGAAUUACUGGGCGUAAGGCGCACGUAGGCGGUUAUUCAAGUCAGAGGUGAAAGCCCGGGGCUCAACCCCGGAACUGCCUUUGAAACUAGACGACUGGAAUCUUGGAGAGGUCAGUGGAAUUCCGAGUGUAGAGGUGAAAUUCGUAGAUAUUCGGAAGAACACCAGUGGCGAAGGCGACUGACUGGACAAGUAUCGACGCUGAGGUGCGAAAGCGUGGGGAGCAAACAGGAUUAGAUACCCCCGUAGUCCCUGUCUCUUAUAC